GCGGCGUGCUUAACACAUGCAAGUCCGAACGGUGGAAGCCCUUUUUUGGGUGGAUGAGUGGCGAACGGGUGGAGUAACACGUGAGUAACCUGCCCCCUUCUUCUGGAUAACCUCAUGAAAGUGGGGCUAAUACGGGAUAUUCUGGUCUGGUCGCAUGGCUGGGCUGGGAAAGAUGCGCCUUUUGGGUGUUUUUGGUGGGGGAUGGGCUCGCGGCCUAUCAGCUUGUUGGUCGGGGUGAUGGCCUACCAAGGCGGUGACGGGUAGCCGGCCUUGAGAGGGUUGGACCGGCCACACUGGGGACUGAAGACACGGCCCAGACUCCUACGGGAGGCAGGCAGGUGGGGGAAUAUUGCACAAUGGGGCGCAAGCCUGAUGCAGGCGACGCCGCGUGAGGGAUGGAGGCCUUCGGGUUGUGAACCUCUUUCGCCAGUGAAGCAGGCCUGCUCCUGUUGUGGGUGGGUUGACCGGUAGCUUGGAUAAGAAGCGCCCGGCUAACUACGUGCCAGCAGCCCGUCGGUAAUACCUAAGGGCCGCGCAGCGUUUGUCUCCGGAAUUAUUCGGGCGUAAAGGAGCUCGUAAGGCCGGCUUCGGUCGCCGUCUUGUCGUGAAAUCCUCUGGCUUAACUGGGGGCUUGCCGGUGGGUACGGGCCGGCUUGAGUGCGGUAGGGGAGACUGGAAUUCCUGGUGUAGCCGGUGGAAUGCGCAGAUAUCAAGGAGGAACACCGGUGGCGAAGGCCGGUCUCUGGGCCCUUACUCGACGCUGAGGAGCGAAAGCGUAGGGGAGCGAACAGGAUUAGAUACCCUGGUAGUCCACGCCAUAAACGUUGGGCACUAGGGUGUGGGGGGCCUUUUCCGGGUUCUUCCGCGCCGUAGCUAACGCAUUAAGUGCCCCGCCUGGGGAGUACGGCCGCAAGGCUAAAACUCAAAGGAAUUGACGGGGGCCCGCACAAGCGGCGGAGCAUGCGGAUUAAUUCCAUGCAACGCGAAGAACCUUACCAAGGCUUGACAUGAGGGCGAUCGCCUCGGAGACGGGGCUUCCUUUUUGGCGCUCUUACAGGUUGGGCAUUGGUUGUCGUCAGCUCGUGUCCGUGAAGAUGUUGGGUUAAGUCCCGCAACGAGCGCAAC
rnacentral:rRNA from 1 species